CGCUUGGUUGCACAAGGUGUGCAUCUGCUGAAUUUGAAGGUUUCGCUUGAGAAUUUACGCAGAAGUCCCCCGUUCGAUUCGGGGCCAGGCGG